rnacentral:rRNA from 1 species
GACGAACGCUGGCGGCGUGCUUAACACAUGCAAGUCGAACGGAAAGGCCCUGCUUUUGUGGGGUGCUCGAGUGGCGAACGGGUGAGUAACACGUGAGUAACCUGCCCUUGACUUUGGGAUAACUUCAGGAAACUGGGGCUAAUACCGGAUAGGAGCUCCUGCUGCAUGGUGGGGGUUGGAAAGUUUCGGCGGUUGGGGAUGGACUCGCGGCGUAUCAGCUUGUUGGUGGGGUAGUGGCUUACCAAGGCUUUGACAGGUAGCCGGCCUGAGAGGGUGACCGGCCACAUUGGGACUGAGAUACGGCCCAGACUCCUACGGGAGGCAGCAGUGGGGAAUAUUGCACAAUGGGCGGAAGCCUGAUGCAGCAACGCCGCGUGCGGGAUGACGGCCUUCGGGUUGUAAACCGCUUUCGCCUGUGACGAAGCGUGAGUGACGGUAAUGGGUAAAGAAGCACCGGCUAACUACGUG